GAUUUUAUUCUGUGGAAACAUGUGAGCAGUGUUGGGUGGGCAGAACCAUCAGGCCACCCUUGAGAGUCUGCAGACACAGCACAGCAAGGUCUGGAGGAGCCUCAGCAGAAGCCUCUGGGGGCUCGGAUUCCCCCAGAAAUCGUGCACAGGUUAUUGGGUGCAUGUGUGCAUUUCCCUGAUAAGAAGGCCUACGGCCUCUAUCAGGCUCUUGGAGUCUGUGACAUCCGAGAGAUGUUGAGAAAGCUUCAGGAGUAGCCUUGGAGGAAGCCCUGGAGGGAGGUGAGGGAGGUUUGCUGGCCGAUGGGGAGGCUCUUUGUCCUAGAAGACAGGGAGGGGCCCGGAUUAGCCUGAGCCACUGCCACCUCCAGUCUUUUCCCUUUGGCUGGAAAAGGGAGCGAGGGCCCCCCCAGCCCUGAGGCUGCCAGCGUCCCCAGUGUGAUCCGGAGGGACUAGAGAGAACAGAAAGAAGCCGGCAGCAGAAGCAGCCAUGGGGCCUUUGGCCUGUAUCACGUUGGCUCCUGGCUCAGGGGUCAGUCAGGCCGCCCCGUCCUGGGGCCCCUGGCGUGUGUACUCUGCAUCCCUUCAUCUCCUCCGAGAGCUGCUCCACCAGCCGCACCAACCCGGAAGCCAAGGGGUGGGGCUCCUGGCUCCCGCCGGAAGUUCCCCCCCAGCCACUGGGCCAGGCCCCAGGUGUCACUAACGAGCCACCUGCCGGUCUGACCUUUGCCCUCCGCUGGCGCGAGACUUUGCCUGGGUUGUCGACACCAGCUUCUGCCUUGGAGCCGAGGAGGAGGGUCUGGCUCACGACAUUUCGGCAUUUCCACAGGCAGCCUCGCUCCCCGACGCGGCCGACAGUUCCCGGUAGGCAUCCCCGGGCUUCUUCCUCCUUGGGGACUGGUUAAAGCUGGACCUACAUCCCCAACAGCUCCCACCCUACCUUUGCAUCUCUGGCCCUCCCUUUCCAGAUGUCACCCGUCCCCAGUCAGCCAGAGGAAACACUCCUUGGGCUAAUUGACCCUGUGGUCCUGUGAGCUCAGCUGGAAGGUUUUAUUUGCCUCCUGUGGGCGCAGUCGGCAUUGGGUGGGGCUGGCUGUGACACGGGAGCAGUCUUGUGGCCCAGGAGGGCUGGACAAAGGGCACUCGGCCUCUAGAAACCUAAUAAAAAGAGCUCCUAUGUAUGGGG
rnacentral:lncRNA from 1 species